AUUGAACGCUGGCGGCAGGCUUAACACAUGCAAGUCGAGCGGAGAGAGGUAGCUUGCUACUGAUCUUAGCGGCGGACGGGUGAGUAAUGCUUAGGAAUCUGCCUAUUAGUGGGGGACAACAUUUCGAAAGGAAUGCUAAUACCGCAUACGUCCUACGGGAGAAAGCAGGGGAUCUUCGGACCUUGCGCUAAUAGAUGAGCCUAAGUCGGAUUAGCUAGUUGGUGGGGUAAAGGCCUACCAAGGCGACGAUCUGUAGCGGGUCUGAGAGGAUGAUCCGCCGCACUGGGACUGAGACACGGCCCAGACUCCUACGGGAGGCAGCAGCGGGGAAUAUUGGACAAUGGGCGCAAGCCUGAUCCAGCCAUGCCGCGUGUGUGAAGAAGGCCUUAUGGUUGUAAAGCACUUUAAGCGAGGAGGAGGCUACUUUAGUUAAUACCUAGAGAUAGUGGACGUUACUCGCAGAAUAAGCACCGGCUAACUCUGUGCCAGCCGCCGCCGUAAUAC
rnacentral:rRNA from 1 species